rnacentral:lncRNA from 1 species
CAUGCUGCUGACCUAACAGACGUACAUGCAAUUUGCAUGUUGCAAAACUCCAGUCGGAUGGUGAAUGGCAGCAAGCAAAAAUAACAACCUGUGUUAUGUGGGUAUCCUAGGCACAAGAAUCAUUGGGCUUGCAAUGUGAAGCUAGGGGAAGUUGCACAGCAGUACAGUGAUCCAUCCAACCUGAAAAUCCAUCCAGCACUAGUAGAGUAUUCAGUUGAAACCUAUACAGAGACACUCACAACCAAGGGUUUCAGCAGCAUCCGACCCCUUCACCUGGCACUUGCAGCACCUUCCUUCUCCUUCUCACCAUCCUACAAGCAAAAAAAUUGUGUCCAUUUCAGUCCCAAUUGUAGUACAACCAGAGAACCCAAAUGACCAAUUGAUGUCCCCAACGCCAUUUUCAGUUCAACCAGAUCCAACUACUAUAGCAAUUACUAAAAUAGAGGCAUACAGAUCUAAAGAUUUUAACAAAACAACAAACAAUUGGUGGCCAAGGUUGUUGUUUUAGCAGCAAACAGAGGCAUGCAAUUGUAAAGAGGGAAAGUAGCAGAGGCAUACCAUAGGCAACG